rnacentral:rRNA from 1 species
GGAGGAUCCAAGCGUUAUCCGGAAUCAUUGGGUUUAAAGGGUCCGUAGGCGGUUUGGUAAGUCAGUGGUGAAAGCCCAUCGCUCAACGGUGAACGGCCAUUGAUACUGCCAGACUUGAAUUACUGGGAAGUAACUAGAAUAUGUAGUGUAGCGGUGAAAUGCUUAGAGAUUACAUGGAAUACCAAUUGCGAAGGCAGGUUACUACCAGUGGAUUGACGCUGAUGGACGAAAGCGUGGGUAGCGAACAGGAUUAGAUACCCUGGUAGUCCACGCCGUAAACGAUGGAUACUAGCUGUUGGGGGCAACUUCAGUGGCUAAGCGAAAGUGAUAAGUAUCCCACCUGGGGAGUACGUUCGCAAGAAUG